AUUGAACGCUGGCGGCAUGCCUUACACAUGCAAGUCGAACGGCAGCACGGGAGCAAACCUGGUGGCGAGUGGCGAACGGGUGAGUAAUGUAUCGGAACGUGCCCAGUCGUGGGGGAUAACGUAGCGAAAGCUACGCUAAUACCGCAUACGAUCUAUGGAUGAAAGCGGGGGAUCGCAAGACCUCGCGCGAUUGGAGCGGCCGAUAUCAGAUUAGGUAGUUGGGGGGGUAAAGGCCCACCAAGCCUGCGGUCUGUAGAUGGUCUGAGAGGACGACCAGCGACACGGGAACUGAGACACGGUCCAGACUCCUACGGGAGGCAGCAGUGGGUAAUUUUGGACGAUGGGCGCAAGCCUGUUCCAGCAAUGCCGCGUGCAGGAUGAAGUCCUUCGGGUUGUAAACUGCUUUUGUACGGAACGAAACGGCUUUUUCUAAUACAGAGAGCUAAUGACGGUACCGUAAGAAUAAGCACCGGCUAACUACGUGCCAGCCGCCGCCGUAACAC
rnacentral:rRNA from 1 species